rnacentral:snoRNA from 1 species
UUUCCCAGUUGACUAUCAAUUUUUCUCUAAAUAGAUUUUAGUGGCUAUACUUAUGGGAUAAAUGAAAAUUGCCAUGAUCUGAAGAGGGAGGAUUUUGUAUGUGUGUACAGCCAUAUGAAACGUAUGGACAGAAAACU